rnacentral:lncRNA from 1 species
UUUUCUUGUCUUUCCUGUCUCAAAACCUAGGCAUCAACUCCACAUGCUGCAAGUAGUCUCCAGCCACAGGAAGUCAAGACACAGGAAGUGCAAAGCCAGGUCCUACACUUACCUUCCUGGUGUCUUUAGCAAGGACUGCUGUAUCUCUGUGCUCAUUUCUCCUGAACUGGUUGACCCCUACGUCCCUAAAUGAUGUUUGGAGCAGAGGCAGGCUUUCACUAUGGAGUCUUGGCUAGCCUGGAACACACAGAGAUGUAUCUUCCCCUGCUGGGAUUAAAGGCCUAGCUCACACUAGCCAGAAUUUUACAGAAGAAGAAGGAGGAGGAGGAGGAGGAGGAGGAGGAGAAGGAGGAGAAGGAGAGGAGAAAGAAGAAGAAGAAGAAGAAGAAGAAGAAGAAGAAGAAGAAGAAGAAGAAGAAGAAGGAAGAAGAAGAAAGAAGAAGAAAAGAAGAAGAAAAGAAGAAGAAGAAAACGGAAAUUUUUAUUUGGACAAAAACUUAGGCCUUGGCAGCAUGGGGGCUCAAGCCUGGAUUCCCAAUUCUCUGAAGGCUGAUGCAGGAGGAUUAAUGUGAGUUUGAUGCCUGCGUGGUAUAGUAUGAGACAGUAUAAAGAAAGACCCCCCCCCCCCCCAAAUAAAAACCACAAGGCCUUCUCCAUCCCACAGGAGUGCUGAAGUCAGUGUGGGUGGUCUUGAGGUCUUUGCUCCCUUGUUUCUCAGUUUCAUGGCCACACAAAUGAUUUGGCCCCAGGAGGAGACCAACCUUGUCCUUGGCACCUCCUUUCAGGCAGGGCAGUUCCUGGAGAGGGCCUGUCUGUGAGCUACCAUCAAUUCCCAAGGGGAACCUGUGCAGAGGUCCUAGGGUCUACCAAGAUUCAAGCCAGCUCUGCUCUCCAGCAGCUGAGUGACCUUGACCUGGUUCUGAUCCUUAUUUAGCAUGUGUUUCCGUUUCCUCCUCUGUAAGCGAGGCAAGAACGGGGAUUAAAUGAAAUCUUGUUCUGGAAGGGUAGGAGGC